rnacentral:rRNA from 1 species
CCUACGGGUGGCAGCAGUGAGGAAUAUUGGUCAAUGGUCGGGAGACUGAACCAGCCAAGCCGCGUGAGGGAGGAAGGUACAGAGUAUCGUAAACCUCUUUUGUCAGGGAACAAAGACUGGGACGCGUCCCCGGAUGAGUGUACCUGAAGAAAAAGCAUCGGCUAACUCCGUGCAAGAAGCCGCGGUAAUACGGAGGAUGCGAGCGUUAGCCGGAUUUUUUGGGUUUAAAGGGUGCGCAGGCGGUGUGUUAAGUCAGCGGUAAAAGCCCGGGGCACAACCCCGGCCCGCCGUUGAAACUGGCAGUCUCGAGUUGGAGAGAAGUAUGCGGAAUGCGCGGUGUAGCGGUGAAAUGCAUAGAUAUCGCGCAGAACUCCGAUUGCGAAGGCAGCAUGCCGGCUCCACACUGACGCUGAGGCACGAAAGCGUGGGUAUCGAACAGGAUUAGAUACCCGGGUAGUC